GUGCCGGUGCAAUGGCCCCUGGGCUCACUGGAGCCAUCUGGGAGGAACCUGGUGUCACCGCUCCAGGGCCACGAAGGUGGAUUUUGCUGCUCUGUCAGCUUUCUUGGAGUUGGCCUAGAUGAGCGGGCCUGUGGGCACUGGGAUGGAGGCUGAGAGUGUCAGGGUGUCAGGCCUCUGUGGGACUGGCUGUGUGCCCAGAGGUGCGUGUGGAUGCUGGAAGGGCAGGGUGGGGCAUGUGUGGGCAGUGACGGUCACUUGGUGAAUGUAUGAGCCUUAGUGGUGAGCUCCAUGUGCUCUGUCCUGAGCUGCUCAUGUCCCAGAGCAUGGCAGGGCCUCUGCCUCCAAAGUGCUGGGAUUAUAGGUGUGAGCCACAUGCCCAGCAAGUGUCCUGUUUUUAAACGUUAUUUUCUUUUCUUUCUCCUUCCUGCCCAUUCCUGGUCUUGCCUCUAAUAAUCAGAUAAUAGCCUUUGUUCUCCCUUCUGCCAGGCACUGCUUGCAUGAUGAUUCCCUUAUUUAAUUUUGUGUUUGUUUG
rnacentral:lncRNA from 1 species